ACCAAGCCCGGCACUGAGGCAGCUGCAGCGGGCACCCAAGUGCUGCGCUUCCCCUCCGACGCUCCUGCACCGCGCGUGAUUUGCAGUGAUUCAACCUCUACGUACCUACUGAGAUGGAAACAGAGAAAUUGGUUUUGAGAGCUCUGAAGCAGGCCAUGGCUCACAUAAGAAGCAGAUGCACUGAGGAGACGACUGCAAAUGGCAAAGAAACCAGAAUGUCCUGAGGAGCUGUGAGGCUGUGCUGCUGCCACUGCAGGAGUUACUCUCCAGCCUCACCAGUGCCAAUAUACCACAGUGUGAGCAAUGCAACUUGAAAGAGAGAAGGAAGACCAGCUGUAUCCUGCAAGCAAGUCUCUUCCUGGAACCUCCAUGCUUCCUCCCGCCAAACCUUUUUUACACGUUGAGUAUGAGAAGUGCUGCAGAGCUGCAGUCUGGCAUUACAGAAAUACACAAGUAACAGAGACAUUUUUCUUCCACUUCUUAAUAUACAGUUGUCAGAAGCUUAACAACUAAACCCAACUCCUUCACACAAAG